rnacentral:rRNA from 1 species
CAAGUCUUGACAUCCCUCUGAAUCCUCUAGAGAUAGGGCUUCUCCUUCGGGAGCAGAGUGACAGGUGGUGCAUGGUUGUCGUCAGCUCGUGUCGUGAGAUGUUGGGUUAAGUCCCGCAACGAGCGCAACCCUUGAUUUUAGUUGCCAGCACUUUAAGGUGGGCACUCUAGAAUGACUGCCGGUGACAAACCGGAGGAAGGCGGGGAUGACGUCAAAUCAUCAUGCCCCUUAUGACUUGGGCUACACACGUACUACAAUGGCUGGUACAACGGGAAGCGAAGCCGCGAGGUGGAGCCAAUCCUAUAAAAGCCGAUCUCAGUUCGGAUUGCAGGCUGCAACUCGCCUGCAUGAAGCUGGAAUCGCUAGUAAUCGCGGAUCAGCAUGCCGCGGUGAAUACGUUCCC